rnacentral:sRNA from 1 species
GCGGAGACAAAUGUUUCCGUUCACUCCUCACACCACACUCCGCCCGGACUACUGUUCGGGCGGUU